rnacentral:rRNA from 1 species
UUAAAUAGCACGUAAAAUUGUUAAAAGGGAAGCGCUUAUAGCUAGACUUGCCUAUAGUUACUUAUCUAGGCUUUUGCCUAGUGCACUCUUCUAUAGGCAGGCUAGUAUUAGUUUAGGUAGUUAGAUAAAGGUCUCUAUUACGUACCUCUCUUUAGGGAGGCCUUAUAGGGGAGACGACAUGUAACUAGCCUAGACUAAGGUCCGCGUAUUUGCUAGGAUGCUAGCGUAAUAGCUAUAAGCGGCCCGUCUUAAAACACGGACUAAGGAGUCUAAUAUCUAUGCGAGUAUUUAGGUGUUAAGCCUAAACGCGUAAUAAAAGUAAACGGAGGUAGGAACCCUUUAGGGCGUACUAUUAACUAAUCCUAAUAUCUUUAGAAGGAUUUAAGUAAGAGCAUAGCUGUUAGGACCUAAAAGAUAGUGAACUAUGCUUAAAUAGGGUAAAGCUAGAGGAAACUCUAGUAGAGGCUUGCAGCGGUUCUAACGUGCAAAUUAAUCGUUAAAUUUAGGUAUAGGGGCGAAAGACUAAUUAAACUAUCUAGUAGCUAGUUCCUACUAAAGUUUCCCUUAGGAUAGCAGUAACGUAUUUAGUUUUAUAAGGUAAAGCGAAUAAUUAGAGGCCUAGGGGUUAAAACAACCUUUACCUAUUCUUAAACUUUAAAUAUGUAAGAAGUCCUUAUUACUUAAUUAAACGUAGACACUUAAAUAUACUAUUACUAGUAGGCUAUUUUUAGUAAGUAGAACUAGCGAUGCGGGAUAAACUAAACGCGGGGUUAAGGUGCUAGAAUGCACGCUUAUUAGAUACUACAAAAGGUGUUAGUUUAUCUAGAUAGCAGGACGGUGGCCAUAGAAGUUAGAAUCCGCUAAGGAGUAUAUAAUAACUUACCUACUAAAUAAACUAGCCCUAAAAAUAGAUAGCGCUUAAGCGUGUUACCUAUACCCCGCUGCUAGGGCAAGAUUUAAGCCCUAGCGAGUAGGCAGGCGUAGAGGCUUGUAACGAAGCCUUAGGGGUAACCCUAGGUAGAACGGCCUCUAGUGUAGAUCUUAGUGGUAGUAGCAAAUACUUAAAUAAGAACUUUAAGGACUAAAGUAGGGAAAGGUUCCGUGUAAACAGUAGUUAGACACGGGUUAGUUAAUCCUAAGAGAUAGGGUAAUUCUGUUUUAAUGUUAGCGCUUGCGCCGCGCCCUUAAAAGGGAAGCUAGUUAAUAUUCUAGUACCUAGAUAUAGAUUCUCUACAGCAACGCAACUAAGAGCGGAGACCUUAGCGGGAGCCCUAAGAAGAGUUCUCUUUUCUUCUUAACAGUCUAUCACCCUAAAAUCAGUUUGUCUGGAGCUAGGGUUUAAUAGCUAGAAGAGCGCUGCACUUUUACGGCGUUUAGUGCGCUCCUAACAAGCCUUAAAAAUCCGCUUAAAGAAAUAGUUUUUACGCUAGGUUAUACUUAUAACCGUAGUAGGUCUCUAAGGUAAAAAGCCUCUAGUUAAUAGAAUAAUAUAGAUAAGGGAAGUUAGCAAAAUAGAUCUGUAACUUUGGGAAAAGGAUUAGCUCUAAGGGUUAGGUACGUUAGGCCUUAGGGAAAAGCCUCUAGCGCAGAAGGGCACUAGCUGCAAGGUAGGCGCCUUUUAGCGCUAGGGUGCGGACACCCUUAGCAGGCUUCGGCCGUCCAGCGUACGUUUAACAACUAACUUAGAACUAGUACGGACAAGGGGAAUCUAACUAUCUAAUUAAAAUAUAGCAUUACAAUAGCUAGAAAGUAGUGUUAACGUAAUAUAAUUUCUGCCUAGUGCUCUAAAUGUUAAAGCAAAGAGAUUUAACUAAGCGUGGGUAAACGGCGGGAGUAACUAUAACUCUCUUAAGGUAGCUAAAUGCCUUGUUAUCUAAUUAGUAACGCGUAUAAAUAGAUUAACGAGAUUCCUACUGUCCCUAUCUACUAUCUAGCAAAACUAUAGCUAAGGGAAUAGGCUUAGCUAAAUUAGCGGGGAAAGAAGACCCUAUUAAGCUUAACUCUAGUUUAAUAUUGUAAAAAGAUAUAGGGGGUGUAGAAUAGGUAGGAGCUUUAGCGCUAGUAAAAUACUACUACCCUUAUUGUUUUUUUACUUAUUUAAUAAAGCGGAGCUAGGCCUUACCGCCUAACUUCUAGCGUUUAAGGUCCUUCGUGGGCUGAUCUAGGUUAAAGACAUUAUUAGGUGGGGAGUUUAGCUAGGGCAGCACAUCUAUUAAACUAUAACGUAGGUGUCCUAAGGGGGACUUAUAGAGAACAGAAAUCUCUAGUAGAGUAAAAGGGUAAAAGUCCCCUUAAUUUUAAUUUUUAGUGUGAAUACAAACUAUAAAAGUGUAGCCUAUUAAUCCUUUAGUCCCUUGAAAUUUAAGGCUAGAGGUGCUAGAAAAGUUACUAUAGGGAUAACUAGCUUGUAGCAGCUAAGU